rnacentral:rRNA from 1 species
UGGGGAAUAUUGGACAAUGGGCGAAAGCCUGAUCCAGCCAUGCCGCGUGUGUGAAGAAGGUCUUCGGAUUGUAAAGCACUUUAAGUUGGGAGGAAGGGCAGUAAGCGAAUACCUUGCUGUUUUGACGUUACCGACAGAAUAAGCACCGGCUAACUCUGUGCCAGCAGCCGCGGUAAUACAGAGGGUGCAAGCGUUAAUCGGAAUUACUGGGCGUAAAGCGCGCGUAGGUGGUUCGUUAAGUUGAAUGUGAAAGCCCCGGGCUCAACCUGGGAACUGCAUCCAAACUGGCGAGCUAGAGUAGGGCAGAGGGUGGUGGAAUUUCCUGUGUAGCGGUGAAAUGCGUAGAUAUAGGAAGGAACACCAGUGGCGAAGGCGACCACCUGGGCUCAUACUGACACUGAGGUGCGAAAGCGUGGGGAGCAAACAGG